UACGGAGGGUGCAAGCGUUAAUCGGAAUUACUGGGCGUAAAGCGCGCGUAGGCGGUUUGUUAAGCGAGAUGUGAAAGCCCAGGGCUCAACCUUGGAAUUGCAUUUCGAACUGGCAAGCUAGAGUACAGAAGAGGGUGGUGGAAUUUCCAGUGUAGCGGUGAAAUGCGUAGAGAUUGGAAGGAACAUCAGUGGCGAAGGCGACCACCUGGACUGAUACUGACGCUGAGGUGCGAAAGCGUGGGGAGCAAACAGG
rnacentral:rRNA from 1 species